rnacentral:rRNA from 1 species
AACGAACGCUGGCGGCAUGCCUAACACAUGCAAGUCGAACGAGACCUUCGGGUCUAGUGGCGCACGGGUGCGUAACGCGUGGGAACCUGCCCUUAGGUUCGGAAUAACUCCCCGACAGGGGUGCUAAUACCGGAUAAUGUCCUCUGACCAAAGAUUUAUCGCCUUUGGAUGGGCCCGCGUUGGAUUAGCUUGUUGGUAGGGUAAAAGCCUACCAAGGCGACGAUCCAUAGCUGGUCUGAGAGGAUGAUCAGCCACACUGGGACUGAGACACGGCCAAGACUCCUACGGGAGGCAGCAGUGGGGAAUAUUGGACAAUGGGCGAAAGCCUGAUCCAGCAAUGCCGCGUGAGUGAUGAAGGCCUUAGGGUUGUAAAGCUCUUUUACCCGGGAUGAUAAUGACAGUACCGGGAGAAUAAGCACCGGCUAACUCCGUG